CCGCCUGCCCUGUGACUAUAUGUUUAACGGCCGCGGUAUCUUAACCGUGCGAAGGUAGCGUAAUCACUUGUCUUUUAAAUGAAGACCUGUAUGAAUGGCAUCACGAGGGCUUAACUGUCUCCCCUCUCCAGUCAAUGAAAUUGACCUCCCCGUGCAGAGGCGGGGAUAUUUAUAUAAGACGAGAAGACCCUGUGGAGCUUUAGACCUAAAGUAAACCACGUUUAAUGUACUAGAAUUAAUAGCAAAAACUUAGUGGACAUUUAUUUAAGUGUCUUUGGUUGGGGCGACCGCGGAGUAAAACAUAACCUCCAUGUGGACGGGGAUACUUUCCCUAAAACUCAGAGCCUCCACUCCAAGCAACAGAAAUUCUGACCUUACUGAUCCGGUACAACCGAUUAACGAACCCAGUUACCCCAGGGAUAACAGCGCAAUCCCCUCUCAGAGCUCAUAUCGACGAGGGGGUUUACGACCUCGAUGUUGGAUCAGGACAUCCUAGUGGUGCAGCCGCUAUUG
rnacentral:rRNA from 1 species